rnacentral:rRNA from 1 species
AUUGAACGCUGGCGGCAGGCCUAACACAUGCAAGUCGAGCGAGCGGCGGACGGGUGAGUAAUGUAUGGGGACUGCCCGAUAGAGGGGGAUAACUACUGGAAACGGUAGCUAAUACCGCAUACUAUCGGAUAACCCAUAUGGGAUUAGCUAGUUGGUGGGGUAAAGGCUCACCAAGGCGACGAUCCCUAGCUGGUCUGAGAGGAUGAUCAGCCACACUGGACCUGAGACACGGCCCAGACUCCUACGGAGGCAGCAGUGGGGAAUAUUGCACAAUGGUCGCAAGCCGGAUGCAGCCAUGCCGCGUGUAUGAAGAAGGCCUUAGGGUUGUAAAGUACUUGCAGUGGGGAGGCGUGACCCACAGAAGAAGCACCGGCUAACUCCGUGCCAGCAGCCGCGGUAAUUC